rnacentral:rRNA from 1 species
UGAACGCUGGCGGCAGGCCUAACACAUGCAAGUCGAGCGGAUGACGGGAGGCUUAGCUCCUUGAUUCAGCGGCGGACGGGUGAGUAAUGCCUAGGAAUCUGCCUGGGUAGUGGGGGACAACGUUUCGAAAGGAACGCUAAUACCGCAUACGUCCUACGGGAGAAAGCAGGGGACCUUCGGGCCUUGCGCUAUCAGAUGAGCCUAGGUCGGAUUAGCUUGUUGGUGAGGGUAAUGGCUCACCAAGGCGACGAUCCGUAACUGGUCUGAGAGGAUGAUCAGUCGACACUGGAACUGAGACACGGUCCAGGACUCCUACGGGAGGCAGGCUAGUGGGGAAUAGUUGGACAAUGGGCGAAAGCCUGAUCCAGCCAUGCCGCGUGGGUGAAGAAG